GUGGAGUCAGACAUACUGAGUGA
rnacentral:miRNA from 1 species